rnacentral:misc_RNA from 1 species
UCCGGUUUGGCACCGGCAGUCUCAUUAGAGUGCCCUUUCGUAGCAACUAAUGACAAGGGUUGCGCUCGUUGCGGGACUUAACCCAACAUCUCACGACACGAGCUGACGACAGCCAUGCAGCACCUGUCUCUGUGUCCCUUUCGGGCCCUCUGUAUCUCUACAGUAUUCACAGGAUGCCAAACCCAGGUAAGGUUUUUCGCGUUGCAUCGAAUUAAACCACAUGCUCCACCGCUUGUGCGGGCCCCCGUCAAUUUCUUUGAGUUUUAAUCUUGCGACCGUACUCCCCAGGCGGGAUACUUAAUGCGUUAGCUCCGGCACUGAAGGGGUCAAUACCUUCAACACCAAGUAUCCAUCGUUUACAGCGUGGACUAC